rnacentral:rRNA from 1 species
AUUGAACGCUGGCGGCACGCUUAACACAUGCAAGUCGAACGGCAGCAGGCUUUAAUACCUUCGGGUGUUAAAGUGCUGGCGAGUGGCGGACGGGUGAGUAAUGCGUAGGAAUCUGUCCUAAAGCGGGGGAUAACCCGGGGAAACUCGGGCUAAUACCGCAUACGCUCUGAGGAGGAAAGCUAGGGACCUUCGGGCCUGGCACUUUAGGGUGAGCCUACGUUGGAUUAGCUAGUUGGUGGGGUAAUGGCUCACCUAGGCGACGAUCCCUAGCUGGUCUGAGAGGAUGACCAGCCACACUGGAACUGGGACACGGUCCAGACUCCUAGGGGAGGCAGCAGUGGGGAAUAUUGCACAAUGGGCGCAAGCCUGAUGCAGCCAUGCCGCGUGUAUGAAGAAGGCCUUCGGGUUGUAAAGUACUUUCAGCGAGGAGGAAGGCAUUAAGGUUAAUAACCUUGGUGAUUGACGUUACUCGCAGAAGAAGCACCGGCUAACUCCGUGCCAGCCGCCGCAGUAAUAC